UCAAGCUAAAAAGAGCAUAAGGUGAAUGCCUUGGCAUCAGGAGCCGACGAAGGACGUGACAAGCUGCGAAAAGCCGCGGGGAGCUGCAAAUAAGCCUCGAUCCGCGGAUAUCCGAAUUGGGGAACCACGCAGGCGAAGAGCCUGUGAUCAUGUACUGAAUACAUAGGUGCAUGAAGGGAACGAGGGGAACUGAAACAUCUAAGUACCCUUAGGAAGAGAAAUCAAACGAGAUUUCGCGAGUAGCGGCGAGCGAAAGCGAAAGAGGCUAAACCGGGAGUAGAAAUACAUCCGGGGUAAUGGACUGAUAAAGCGACAAUAGUCAUAGCAGAAUGACUUGGGAAAGUCAACCGAAGAAGGUGAGAGUCCCGUAAGCGAAAUGACGACGAUAGCGACAGUAUCCGGAGUACGUACGGACACGAGGAAUCCGCACGGAAGUCGGGGGGACCACCCUCCAAGCCUAAAUACUACCUGAUGACCGAUAGAGGAGAAGUACUGUGAAGGAAAGGUGAAAAGAACCCCGGGAGGGGAGUGAAAAGAACCUGAAACCUUAUGUUUACAAGCACACAAAGCACGUUAAUGUGCGAUGUGGUACUUUUUGUAGAACGGUCCGGCGAGUUAUUGUUGCUGGCGAGGUUAAGUACCGAAGGUACGGAGCCGCAGGGAAACCGAGCAUGAAAUGUGCGUAUAGUCAGUAGUAAUAGACCCGAAACCGGGUGACCUAUCCAUGAGCAGGUUGAAGUUGCCGUAAAAGGCAAUGGAGGACCGAACCGACCCCCGUUGAAACGUUGGCGGAUGACUUGUGGAUAGCGGAGAAAUUCCAAUCGAACCCGGAUAUAGCUGGUUCUCCCCGAAAUAGCUUUAGGGCUAGCCUUCUGUAUAUUUAGCGCAGGUAAAGCACUGAAUGGCCGAGGGGUCGAGAGACUACCAACGCCUAUCAAACUAAGAAUGGCGCAUAAAUGAGCAGGGGAGUCAGACUACGUGAGAUAAGUCUCGUGGUCAAAAGGGAAACAGCCCAGAUCUACAGCUAAGGUCCCAAAUAUAUACUAAGUGGAGAAGGAUGUGACAAUGCUAAGACAACUAGGAUGUUGGCUUAGAAGCAGCCACUCAUUAAAAGAGUGCGUAAUAGCUCACUAGUCGAGUGAUGUUGCGCCGAAGAUUUAACGGGGCUAAGUAUAUAACCGAAGCUUAGGCAGUGUUUAACUGGGUAGGGGAGCGUUCUCAUCGGGGCGAAGCAUGAUCGGAAGGACAUGUGGACUGAUGAGAAGUGAGAAUGCCGGAAUGAGUAGCGAGAAUUGCGUGAGAAUCGUAAUGGCCGAAAAUCUAAGGUUUCCAGGGGAAGGUUCGUCCGCUCUGGGUAAGCCGGGAGCUAAGGCGAGGCCGAAAGGCGUAGUCGAUGCACAUACGGUAGAGAUUCCGUAGCCACUAAGUAAUUUAAGUAUACUGACACAACAUGGAAGCACAACCCGGGCGAUGGUAGCCCCGGGCGAAAGGGACUGAAAUUAAGUAGGGAAGUGUGAUGAAGUGGUGGCGAGAAAAGGUAUACGGAUAUUACAGGUGCCCGUACCGCAAACCGACACAGGUAGAUGGGGAGAGAAUCCUAAGGCCAACGGGAGAAGGGUUGUUAAGGAACUCGGCAUAUUGACCCCGUAACUUCGGAAGAAGGGGUGCCGCAGAAAUGCGGCCACAGUGAAAAGGCCCAGGCGACUGUUUAUCAAAAACACAGGUCUCUGCAAAACCGAAAGGUGAAGUAUAGGGGCUGACGCCUGCCCGGUGCCGGAAGGUCAAGGGGAUUGCUUAGCGCAAGCGAAGGCAAGAACUUAAGCCCCGGUAAACGGCGGCCGUAACUAUAACGGUCCUAAGGUAGCGAAAUUCCUUGUCAGGUAAGUUCUGACCCGCACGAAUGG
rnacentral:rRNA from 1 species